rnacentral:rRNA from 1 species
AAUCAACGCUGGCGGCGUGCCUCAGACAUGCAAGUCGAACGAUUAAAGCUCUCUUCGGAGAGUGUAUAGAGUGGCGCACGGGUGAGUAACACGUAAGUAAUCUACCUUUGAGUGGGGAAUAACGUCCGGAAACGGACGCUAAUACCGCAUAAUGCAGCGGCAUCGCAAGAUGACAGUUGUUAAAGAUUUAUCGCUUGAAGAGGAGCUUGCGGCAGAUUAGCUAGUUGGUAAGGUAAUGGCUUACCAAGGCUACGAUCUGUAACCGGUCUAAGAGGACGGUCGGUCACACUGACACUGAAUAACGGGUCAGACUCCUACGGAGGCAGCAGUCGGGAAUUUUGGGCAAUGGGCGAAGCCUGACCCAGCAACGCCGCGUGAAGGAUGAAG